AGAGUUUGAUCCUGGCUCAGGAUGAACGCUGGCGGCAUGCCUAAUACAUGCAAGUCGAACGAGAGGAAGGAAAGCUUGCUUUUCUGAAUCUAGUGGCGAACGGGUGAGUAACACGUAGGUAACCUGCCCAUGUGCCCGGGAUAACUUCUGGAAACGGAUGCUAAAACCGGAUAGGUAGCAGACAAGCAUUUGACUGCUAUUAAAGUGGCUAAGGCCAUGAACAUGGAUGGACCUGCGGUGCAUUAGCUAGUUGGUGAGGUAACGGCCCACCAAGGCGACGAUGCAUAGCCGGCCUGAGAGGGCGGACGGCCACAUUGGGACUGAGACACGGCCCAAACUCCUACGGGAGGCAGCAGUAGGGAAUUUUCGUCAAUGGGGGGAACCCUGAACGAGCAAUGCCGCGUGAGUGAAGAAGGUCUUCGGAUCGUAAAGCUCUGUUGUAAGAGAAAAACGACAUUCAUAGGGAAUGAUGAGUGAGUGAUGGUAUCUUACCAGAAAGUCACGGCUAACUACGUGCCAGCAGCCGCGGUAAUACGUAGGUGGCGAGCGUUAUCCGGAAUGAUUGGGCGUAAAGGGUGCGUAGGUGGCAGAACAAGUCUGGAGUAAAAGGUAUGGGCUCAACCCGUACUGGCUCUGGAAACUGUUCAGCUAGAGAACAGAAGAGGACGGCGGAACUCCAUGUGUAGCGGUAAAAUGCGUAGAUAUAUGGAAGAACACCGGUGGCGAAGGCGGCCGUCUGGUCUGUUGCUGACACUGAAGCACGAAAGCGUGGGGAGCAAAUAGGAUUAGAUACCCUAGUAGUCCACGCCGUAAACG
rnacentral:rRNA from 1 species